AUCUCAUGGUAAGGACAUUUCAAGAGCUUCUCUUUGAAUCUUCCCCAAGCUCCAUACCAUGGUUCUUCAUAGAGUUGAUGAAAAUUAAUGAUUUCAUUUCGCAAUU
rfam:Capsicum annuum cultivar Zunla-1 chromosome 12, whole genome shotgun sequence